rnacentral:misc_RNA from 1 species
CAGGAGGAUACAGGGGUCCCAAAAUUGAGUAAACUUCAGCUGAAUCCACGCCCGUAUGCCCAUAAAUAUGCUUGCAGACAGAUAGAAAUGGUUAUUCCACCACCAGUUAAGUGGCCACCUAGAGUCACAGAGUUUCUGAAACCUUAUAUCCUGAAGAUGCACUUCACAAACAAAUAUGUGAGUGCCCAAGUUAUCCACUCACCAACUGCCACAGUAGCAUGUUCUGCAAGCUCACAAGAGAAGGCCUUGAGGUCGAGCAUGGAGAAUACUCGAGAUGUAGCAGCUGCAGCCAAAAUUGGGAAAAUACUCGGGGAGCGCCUGCUGCUCAAGGACAUACCUGCUGUUUCUGUUUUCCUGAAAAGAGAACAGAGAUAUCAUGGAAAGGUGAAAGCUGUGAUUGAUUCUGUGAGAGAAGCUGGUGUCAAACUCCUAUAAAUUGUUGUUCCAAGGAUUUCUACCGAGUCCUGAACAGAUUACUUGCAGAGAUGAUUUUUUUUUUUUUCUUUUU